UGGGGAAUAUUGCACAAUGGGCGCAAGCCUGAUGCAGCCAUGCCGCGUGAAUGAUGAAGGCCUUAGGGUUGUAAAAUUCUUUCGCUAGGGAUGAUAAUGACAGUACCUAGUAAAGAAGCCCCGGCUAACUUCGUGCCAGCAGCCGCGGUAAUACGAAGGGGGCUAGCGUUGUUCGGAAUUACUGGGCGUAAAGCGCACGUAGGCGGAUUAUUAAGUCAGAUGUGAAAUCCCAAGGCUCAACCUUGGAACUGCAUUUGAAACUGGUAAUCUAGAGAUCAGGAGAGGUUAGUGGAAUACCGAGUGUAGAGGUGAAAUUCGUAGAUAUUCGGUGGAACACCAGUGGCGAAGGC
rnacentral:rRNA from 1 species